AUGUAUUCGAGGCCACCGGCGGCGAUGCUCCAGCCGACUCUGGGCAAUAAUCCAGCCUACACCGGGGAGGCUUCCACGGCGGCAGCCCAUCCGACUGGACCGGUACGGGAGUGCACUAUUUGCAAAACGCCCACAGCAGGGCUCUGGACCGCGACGACUCUGCAAGGUACACGGGUGGGAACCCCGCUGCCCCUGUGCGAUGCUUGCCACAGCAAAAUCUUCAGCUGGGACAGGCCUCUGCAGCAUCUGCACCAAUAUCUUGCCACCACAGUUGUGGGUCGCGGCGCCGGGUCGAUACAUUCGUUUCUUACAGCUAUCGGUCGCGCCGGCGGGUGGGAUCACGGGGACUUCGCUCUGGCGAUGAGGUUGCUCCCGCAGCCGCCGGGCGAUCAAGCCGGCGGGAGUGCGCCCUUCUUCGGCAUCGACGUGCCGAGCGGCUACGUUUUCUUCUCCGGCGGCCAGAACCAGAUCGCCAGUUCCGACGGGCUGGCGCCGGCACCGGCACAGUCUGCAAUGAGCCCAUGGUGCGUUGUUUGCAACAAUGCCGCGGGGACGCUUUGGGACUGGCUGCCCAUCUGCGAGGCUUGCUACCACAGGGCUCGCUACAACAGGGAGGUCUACAGGGCUCGCAUGCAGAUCGCCAAUGCCAGUGCGGCUCAGGCUCAGGCUCGGGCUGAGGCUCAGGCUCUGAAGGAUCGGGCUUAUCAGGCUAUGGCUCAGGCUGAGCCUCAGGCUCUGGCUCUGGCUCAGCAGGCUCAGGCUCAGGCUCAGGAGCAGGCUCUGGUUCAGAAGGCUCAGGCUCAGGCUCAGGCUCACGGUAUUGCCAUUGAUCAGCAGCGGCCAUUGAUCACGCUCUACCCCCGCCACGCCCCGCGACCAAGUGGAUGCCGUUAUUGCGGAUAUCGUUAUUGCAGGCAGCCCAUGUGCGAGACUUGCUGUAGAUUGAUGAAACUAUAA
rnacentral:rRNA from 1 species